CAGCUAGGGUUUUGUUUGUUGCCUCGUUGCUUUAUAGUCUCUGAUAAUAGAAACCCUAUCUAGGCUUUUGCAGCGAGAAGGGUUCUUCCUGCCAGGUGCUGCAUUUCCACGGCUCUGCAAGGUAAGACAUGGUGAAACAUAACAAUGUUGUGCCUAAUGGGCACUUUAAAAAGCACUGGCAAAACUAUGUGAAGACAUGGUUUAACCAACCUGCUCGCAAAACAAGAAGACGCAUUGGUGAGAAACUUUUUCGUUGCGCUCCUUUCUGGCUCAAUUAACUAGAUAAAACUUUUCUGUGGGUAUCCUAUAAAUUUUGCCUAUGUUACACCUUUAUCAAUCUGAUAACUUCCUCCCAUUUCACUUCUACCACUAAAGAACAGUAAUUUCAAUUGGAAA